rnacentral:rRNA from 1 species
GAUGAACGCUGGCGGCGUGCUUAACACAUGCAAGUCGAACGGAAAGGCCACAGCUUGCUGUGGUACUCGAGUGGCGAACGGGUGAGUAACACGUGGGUGAUCUGCCCUGUACUUCGGGAUAAGCUUGGGAAACUGGGUCUAAUACCGGAUAGGAAUCACAUGUGGGUGUGUGGUUGGAAAGCUUUUGCGGUAUGGGAUGAGCUCGCGGCCUAUCAGCUUGUUGGUGGGGUAAUGGCCUACCAAGGCGUCGACGGGUAGCCGGCCUGAGAGGGUGUACGGCCACAUUGGGACUGAGAUACGGCCCAGACUCCUACGGGAGGCAGCAGUGGGGAAUAUUGCACAAUGGGCGCAAGCCUGAUGCAGCGACGCCGCGUGGGGGAUGACGGCCUUCGGGUUGUAAACUCCUUUCGUCAGGGACGAAGCGAAAGUGACGGUACCUGGAUAAGAAGCACCGGCUAACUACGU